rnacentral:rRNA from 1 species
CCAAUAGCGUAUAUUAAAGUUGUUGCAGUUAAAAAGCUCGUAGUUGAAUUUCGGGGUUAGUAGGUUGGUCAUGCCUCUGGUAUGUACUGAUCUUACUGAUUCCUCCUUCCUGAUGAACCGUAAUGCCAUUAAUUUGGUGUUGCGGGGAAUUUGGACUGUUACUUUGAAAAAAUUAGAGUGUUUAAAGCAAGCUAACGCUUGAAUACAUUAGCAUGGAAUAAUGAAAUAGGACGUUCGAUCCUAUUUUGUUGGUUUCUAGGAUUGACGUAAUGAUUAAUAGGGAUAGUUGGGGGCAUUAGUAUUCAAUUGUAAGAAGUGAAAUUCUUGGAUUUAUUGAAGACUAACUACUGCGAAAGCAUUUGCCAAGGAUGUUUUCAUUAAUCAAGAACGAAAGUUAGGGGAUCGAAGACGAUCAGAUACCGUCGUAGUCUUAACCAUAAACUAUGCCGACUAGGGAUCGGAUGAUGUUAAUUUUUUAAUGACUCAUUCGGCGCCUUACGGGAAACCAAAGUGUUUGGNUUC